rnacentral:rRNA from 1 species
GUACACUCCUACGGGAGGCAGCAGUGGGGAAUAUUGGACAAUGGGCGCAAGCCUGAUCCAGCCAUGCCGCGUGAGUGAUGAAGGCCCUAGGGUUGUAAAGCUCUUUCACCGGAGAAGAUAAUGACGGUAUCCGGAGAAGAAGCCCCGGCUAACUUCGUGCCAGCAGCCGCGGUAAUACGAAGGGGGCUAGCGUUGUUCGGAAUUACUGGGCGUAAAGCGCACGUAGGCGGAUCGAUCAGUCAGGGGUGAAAUCCCAGGGCUCAACCCUGGAACUGCCUUUGAUACUGUCGAUCUGGAGUAUGGAAGAGGUGAGUGGAAUUCCGAGUGUAGAGGUGAAAUUCGUAGAUAUUCGGAGGAACACCAGUGGCGAAGGCGGCUCACUGGUCCAUUACUGACGCUGAGGUGCGAAAGCGUGGGGAGCAAACAGGAUUAGAAACCCGUGUAGUCCCAUG